rnacentral:rRNA from 1 species
CGGAGGCAGCAGUGGGGAAUAUUGCACAAUGGGGGAAACCCUGAUGCAGCAACGCCGCGUGGAGGACGAAGGCCUUCGGGUUGUAAACUCCUGUCUUUUGGGACGAAUAAAUGACGGUACCAAAGGAGGAAGCCACGGCUAACUACGUGCCAGCAGCCGCGGUAAUACGUAGGUGGCAAGCGUUGUCCGGAAUUAUUGGGCGUAAAGGGCGCGUAGGCGGCGUCUUAAGUCAGAUGUGAAAACCCCGGGCUUAACUUGGGAACUGCAUCUGAUACUGGGACGCUAGAGUGCAGGAGAGGUAAGUGGAAUUCCUAGUGUAGCGGUGAAAUGCGUAGAUAUUAGGAGGAACACCAGUGGCGAAGGCGACUUACUGGACUGUAACUGACGCUGAGGCGCGAAAGCGUGGGGAGCAAACAGGAUUAGAUACCCCGGUAGUCCC